rnacentral:rRNA from 1 species
GCUUUAAAGGGAAAAAGGAGGGAGUAUCUAAAUCUAAAUAAGUACAUACAAUGUGUUCAAAGUGCCCUUAGCCCAAUCCGUAUUUAAUCUCUCUAUGUACUAUUUUUCCUUUCAUUAAAAUCUAGGAGAUUUCAUCUCUCGUCUUUCCUUUGAAUACAGAUUUAACUCCCUCUCACAAUGUCCAAUUGAUCAUGACAUUCAAUUCUUGCUUUUAAUAUUUUAAUUAUGCAUCUCAUUAAUCCCAUAGCCCCUAAUUAGACCAAUACCGGGGCAUUCAUAGUUAAUUCCUUCUUGUGCAUCAUAUGCAUGUAUGUCGUGAAUCCAGUUUAAUUAGUCCACCACCAGACCGAAUGUAGAGUUACUUUCUUCCUUGCAACGUGCACGCAUAUCAUGAAUAGAGAUAAAUUUGGCCACAACCGGUGCCCAUAGAUCUGAUUGCUUUCUACCUCCAUGCCUUAA